UAGGGAAUCUUCCGCAAUGGGCGAAAGCUUGACGGAGCAACGCCGCGUGAGUGAUGAAGGUCUUCGGAUCGUAAAACUCUGUUAUUAGGGAAGAACAAAUGUGUAAGUAACUAUGCACGUCUUGACGGUACCUAAUCAGAAAGCCACGGCUAACUACGUGCCAGCAGCCGCGGUAAUACGUAGGUGGCAAGCGUUAUCCGGAAUUAUUGGGCGUAAAGCGCGCGUAGGCGGUUUUUUAAGUCUGAUGUGAAAGCCCACGGCUCAACCGUGGAGGGUCAUUGGAAACUGGAAAACUUGAGGGCAGAAGAGGAAAGUGGAAUUCCAUGUGUAGCGGUGAAAUACGCAGAGAUAUGGAGGAACACCAGUGGCGAAGGCGACUUUCUGGUCUGUAACUGACGCUGAUGUGCGAAAGCGUGGGGAUCAAACAGG
rnacentral:rRNA from 1 species